rnacentral:rRNA from 1 species
GACAGAGGGUGCAAACGUUGUUCGGAAUUACUGGGCGUAAAGCGUGUGUAGGCUGCUACAUAAGUCGGAUGUGAAAGCCCCGGGCUCAACCCGGGAAGUGCACUCGAUACUGCGUAGCUUGAGUCUCGGAGAGGUUGGUGGAAUUCUCGGUGUAGAGGUGAAAUUCGUAGAUAUCGAGAGGAACACCGGUGGCGAAGGCGACUUCCUGGACAGCUACUGACACUGAGGCACGAAAGCAUGGGGAGCAAACAGG